GAUGAACGCUAGCGGCAGGCUUAAUACAUGCAAGUCGAGGGGUAGCAAGAUUGUAGCAAUACAAUUGUUGACGACCGGCAAACGGGUGCGGAACACGUACACAACCUUCCUACAAGUGGGGAAUAGCCCAGAGAAAUUUGGAUUAAUACCCCGUAACAUAGCGAUGUGGCAUCACAUUGCUAUUAUAGCUUCGGCGCUUGUUGAUGGGUGUGCGGCUGAUUAGAUAGUUGGCGGGGUAACGGCCAACCAAGUCUACGAUCAGUAGCUGAUGUGAGAGCAUGAUCCGCCACACGGGCACUGAGACACGGGCCCGACUCCUACGGGAGGAAGCAGUAAGGAAUAUUGGACAAUGGACGCAAGUCUGAUCCAGCCAUGCCGCGUGAAGGAUUAAGGUCCUCUGGAUUGUAAACUUCUUUUAUAAGGGACGAAAAAAGGUCUUUCUAGAUCGUCUGACGGUACCUUAUGAAUAAGCACCGGCUAACUCCGUGCCAGCAGCCGCAGUAACAC
rnacentral:rRNA from 1 species